rnacentral:lncRNA from 1 species
GGAAGUUCCCAGGCUAAGGGUUGAAAUCAGAGCUGCAGCUCCCGGCCUACAUCACAGCCACAGCACCGCCGGAUCUAAGCUGCAUCUUUGACCUACACCGCAGCUCACAGCAAUGCUGGAUACUUAACCCACUGAGCGGGGCCAGAGAUUGAACCCUCAUCCUCAUGGAUGCUAGUCGGGUUCAUAACCUGCUAAGCCACAACACGAACUCCCCGAAAGCCUUUUAAUGGAGUUGCCAACGUGGCUCAGUAGUCAACGAACCCGACUAGUAUCCAUGAGGACACGAGUUCGAUCCCUGGCCUCGCUCAGUGAAUUAAGGAUCCAGCAUUGCAGUGAGAACUAUGGUGUAGGUCCCAGACAUGGCUCAGAUUCCUCACUGCUGUAGCUGUGGCAUUGGGCCGGCAGCUCAAGCUCCGAUUCAACCCCUAGCCUGGGAACCUCCAUGUGCCGUGAGUGUAGCCCUAAAAAGACAAAAAAACAAAAAAACACUAAUGAUUUUGUUUACUCUUCAUAGUUCUAUGAAGGCUGAUUCUGUUAAGUUGAAUUUACUGAGAUAAGAACCUACAAUAGGAGGAUAGAUUUAUUUUUGAGAAAACUGAUGCUAAGCUUUGACUUCUGCUACUAUUCAGUGACAUUCAGUGCAGAAAUAAUUGGUCAUCAGAACAUUAGAGAACCAGCCAUUGUUGUUUUGAAUGAUCUUGGUGCUUAUUAAGGCUUUGUUUCAAUCAGACUGCUGAAAUAAUUGAUGAUGACAUUAAUUAGUUUUGACCAGACACAUUUUUUUGUACUUUGGUAGUGGGCACUCUUCUUCUCUGAACAGGAUAUCAAAAUGAAAAAUCAAUGGAGAUGUUUAAAAAAAGCCUUGCUCUUUUCAAAGGGAAGCUCAUGAAUGAUUUCUUAGGCACAAGAGUUUUGAAUCACUCUAGUCCACCCUGCAUUCUUAGCUUUACCUAAUAAAUCAAGUUGACUAAAUAAGGCUGACAGAAAUUCAUUGGUGAAUUUGUCUGACAUUUUAUACUGGAGGAUGAAUGAAUAAGAUGAAUGGAAUCUAUUUUGAAAAAUGAAUUUCUGAAAGCAGGAGUGUCUGUGAUUUGUUGCACCUAGUGACUGUGAAUCUGGGGGUAAGACCUUGGUGUGUCGUUGAAAACCAGCCAGCCUUGGAGACACAAAGCAAGUGGAAAAUAAAAUGCUAAUAUCAGCUGUGAUCGUUGUAAAGAAUACAUAGUUCAAGAAAAUUUCAGGAGCUUUUGUGGGGUAUUUUUUGGCGAGGUAGUGUAAAUUUUUGGUGGUGUAGAGACAUUUUGGAGGAAUGCUUUGAGUUGAAAUGAAAAAUGUGAAGUGUUUGAGAAUGAAACUCAUGGCAUUUACAGUGAGUGGGAAAACAGAGGCUUUGAAAAUGGAAGUUUCUGCAACUGGUUCUCAUGCUGCCAUGCAAGGGUGUACCCGAGGAAGGAAUACACUCUCUCCGAGAUAUUUUAAUUUCUGCUUUUACAAGUUAAAAAAAAAAUAGUAAAAGAAGAAAUACCUACCUCAAAGAGUUUGAGAGAAAUGAUGAAUUUGGGGUAGAUAGUAAUUACUCAACAAAUGUGUCCUUCCUUUAAGGAAGUUUCUGGUAUUGUGCAGAUUGAGAAGGCAGCUGUUGAGAAAGAUCUCAGGGACAGCUGACGUUUAAAACCUCUUACAACAUCAAGUAUGGGAAUGGGGCUAGUUUAGAACUUGGUGUUUUUCAGGAAGGCAGAGAUGGGCUCUGCUCUUAGAAUGUGACAGUUACGGAUUUUUCCCAUGGCUGGAUCAAGUGUCAGUUAAUUGACCCUGGUUUAUGUUUGUUGUACGUCUCAAGAUGAGGCCCCAAGUCCCCUUGAGGUCAAUUAUAGGCAUAAGUAUUUAUAGUGGAGCAUUUGUGUUUCAGGAGUCCUCUGGCCCUGUUCUGGUCACACAGGCUAAUUAUCACCACCUUGAGACAGUGAAGUUGCCUUGGCGGCAGCCACCUAGCAAAUCAGUCAUAACACAUUGAGCCAGGGCACUUGGGAGCUUCCCGUCCCAGUACCCUCUGGCCUCGGUGUGGCCCACGGGGAAGUUGGUUACAUCAUUGUUGGUCAUAAGAUAGGUUCUGACAACUGACCAGGCUUUGAUACAUCCUGCUUACAUACUGAUAUUGAGCACACUUGAGGUCAUGGAACAAAGAGUCAGUGCCUGUGGUUUUAUGUUUCCUUCGUUUUUCUCCAUGUGCUGAUUGAGCACUAAGAGAAUAUUUAUUAUAUACUACACUCUAAGUGCCUUGUGUAUAUAAUAUACUUAGUUAACCCUCACAAGCUAUGAUGUAGGUGCUGUUAUUAUCCUCAUUUUACAGAGGCAGAAGGCAGUGGCACAGAGCAGUUGAGUAAUUUGCUCAAGAUCUCAUAAACAGAAGAGCAAUAAACAGAGGGUCAUCUCUUGACUACUGCUGUACCAGCCUUCUUUGCCAGUAAGAAAAUUAAGACAGUCAAAAAAGAACAUUAAGAGGUCCUUGGUGGCCUAGCAGUUAAGGAUUCAGUGUUGUCACUGCUUCGGCUCAGGUUUGAUCCUAGGCCGACUGGUUUGUUGCUGUGGGCGAGGCCAAAAAAAAAAAAAGAACAUUAAAGAAAAAAAAUACACAAAUCCCAUCUAUCCGGUAACAACCAUUCUCAGCACUUUGGUGCAUUUACUUCCAAAUCUCUUCCUUGAACUUUGAUGGAAAAUCCUCUGUCCCCAUUGCUAAUUCCAAGGCUAAUUAAGCAUUAUGAACAGUUUGAUAUGCGUUCCCAGAUGUAUAUGCAAACACAUGCGGAGGUAAUCCACACACCUUUUUUAAUGUCUUACUGUAUGCAUUGUUUUGCUAGGCACUUUUUCACUCAGUAUAUGCUGGACAUAUUGCUAUAUGUGUUGUGUAUAGUCUAACACAUAUUUUAAUUGACUAAUAUGAAUUGUGCUACUUUCAGAGGAUAACUAUACUCUCUUCUAGUGUACCCCUUUCACUGAUUGACAUUUAGAUUAAUUGUCCCACUUUCCCUAUGUCAACUUUAGUAGCUGUAUAUAUUUUACUGUAUAAAAGUACUCUAAUUUUCCUCUUAUAUGAUGGAUGCAGGUUAUUUGAAGGUACUAGGAUGAACCUUCUCAAAACUGAGGAUUUGAGUACAUCUUUACUUAUUUCCCAGUCCCAACCAAAAUGCCAAGACUAAAUGAUCACCCAGUCAUUUAAAAAAAAAAAAAAAAAAA